rnacentral:rRNA from 1 species
CCUACGGGAGGCUGCAGUGGGGAAUAUUGCACAAUGGGCGCAAGCCUGAUGCAGCCAUGCCGCGUGUGUGAAGAAGGCCUUCGGGUUGUAAAGCACUUUCAGCGGGGAGGAAGGCGGUGAGGUUAAUAACCUCAUCGAUUGACGUUACCCGCAGAAGAAGCACCGGCUAACUCCGUGCCAGCAGCCGCGGUAAUACGGAGGGUGCAAGCGUUAAUCGGAAUUACUGGGCGUAAAGCGCACGCAGGCGGUCUGUCAAGUCGGAUGUGAAAUCCCCGGGCUCAACCUGGGAACUGCAUUCGAAACUGGCUGGCUAGAGUCUUGUAGAGGGGGGUAGAAUUCCAGGUGUAGCGGUGAAAUGCGUAGAGAUCUGGAGGAAUACCGGUGGCGAAGGCGGCCCCCUGGACAAAGACUGACGCUCAGGUGCGAAAGCGUGGGGAGCAAACAGGAUUAGAUACCCCAGUAGUC